rnacentral:rRNA from 1 species
GAUGAACGCUGGCGGCGUGCCUAAUACAUGCAAGUCGAGCGAACAGACGAGGAGCUUGCUCCUCUGACGUUAGCGGCGGACGGGUGAGUAACACGUGGAUAACCUACCUAUAAGACUGGGAUAACUUCGGGAAACCGGAGCUAAUACCGGAUAAUAUAUUGAACCGCAUGGUUCAAUAGUGAAAGACGGUUUUGCUGUCACUUAUAGAUGGAUCCGCGCCGCAUUAGCCAGUUGGUAAGGUAACGGCUUACCAAGGCAACGAUGCGUAGCCGACCUGAGAGGGUGAUCGGCCACACUGGAACUGAGACACGGUCCAGACUCCUACGGGAGGCAGCAGUAGGGAAUCUUCCGCAAUGGGCGAAAGCUUGACGGAGCAACGCCGCGUGAGUGAUGAAGGUCUUCGGAUCGUAAAACUCUGUUAUUAGGGAAGAACAAAUGUGUAAGUAACUAUGCACGUCUUGACGGUACCUAAGCAGAAAGCCACGGCUAACUACGG